CGCGGGGUGGAGCAGCCUGGUAGCUCGUCGGGCUCAUAACCCGAAGGUCGUCCGGUUCAAACUCCGGCCCCCGCAACCA
rnacentral:tRNA from 1 species